UACGUAGGGGGCAAGCGUUGUCCGGAUUUAUUGGGCGUAAAGAGCGUGUAGGCGGCCAGACAGGUCAGCUGUGAAAACUCGAGGCUUAACCUCGAGCUGUCGGCGGAAACCAUCUGGCUAGAGUCCGGAAGAGGAGAAUGGAAUUCCCGGUGUAGCGGUGAAAUGCGCAGAUAUCGGGAAGAACACCCGUGGCGAAGGCGGUUCUCUGGGACGGUACUGACGCUGAGACGCGAAAGCGUGGGGAGCGAACAGG
rnacentral:rRNA from 1 species